CCUACGGGAGGCAGCAGGGAGGAAUAUUGGACAAUGGGGGAAACCCCGAUCCAGCAACGCCGCGUGAGGGAUGAAGGCCUUCGGGUCGUAAACCUCUUUUAAGGGAGACGAGAAAGGACGGUAUCCCUGGAAUAAGUCACGGCUAACUACGUGCCAGCAGCCGCGGUAAUACGUAGGUGACGAGCGUUAUCCGGAUUUACUGGGCGUAAAGCGCUUGUAGGUGGCUUUGUAAGUUGGGCGUGAAAACUCUGGGCUUAACCCAGAGACGCCGUCCAAUACUGCGAAGCUAGAGGAUGUCAGAGGAAGGUGGAAUUCCUGGUGUAGUAGUGAAAUGCGUAGAUAUCAAGGAGGAACACCCGUGGCGAAGGCGGCCUUCUGGGGCAUUCCUGACACUGAGAAGCGAAAGCUAGGGGAGCAAACAGGAUUAGAAACCCUGGUAGUCCUAGCUGUAACCGAUGGAUGCUAGGUGUUGGCGGAUUUAACCCUGCCAGUGCCGAAGCUAACGCGUUAAGCAUCCCGCCUGGGAAGUACGAUCGCAAGAUUAAAACUCAAAUGAAUUGACGG
rnacentral:rRNA from 1 species